GGUGUGGUUGUUGCUGGCCCUCUCGGGGGCAUGUGCACACCCACCAUCCUCAUCUCUCCACCUGUGCACCUCUUGUAGACCUGGAUARACUUUCCGAGGCAACUCGGUCGGGAAGAUUGCUGCGCUCUGUGAGCCAGCUUUCUUUGCAUGUCCAGGCCUAUGUUUUUCAUAUACCCCUAUAGAAUGUAACAGAAUGUAUCAUUGGGCCUUGUGCCUAUAAACCUUAUACAACUUUCAGCAACGGAUCUCUUGGCUCUCGCAUCGAUGAAGAACGCAGCGAAAUGCGAUAAGUAAUGUGAAUUGCAGAAUUCAGUGAAUCAUCGAAUCUUUGAACGCACCUUGCGCUCCUUGGUAUUCCGAGGAGCAUGCCUGUUUGAGUGUCAUUAAAUUCUCAACCUUAUUAGCUUUUGUUGAUAAUGGAUUGGAUGUGGGGGUUUAUUUUGCUGGCUUCUUCACAGAGAUCAGCUCCCCUUAAAUGCAUUAGCUGGUGCCCCGCGUGGACCAUCUAUUGGUGUGAUAAUUAUCUACGCCGUGGAUGUCUGCAAUCAUAUGGGUUUUGCACUGCUUCUAACCGUCUGUUCAUUCGGACAAAAUACAUGACAAUUUGACCUCAAAUCAGGUAGGACUACCCGCUGAACUUAAGCAUAUCAAUAAGCGGAGGAAAAGAAACUAACAAGGAUUCCCCUAGUAACUGCGAGUGAAGCGGGAAAAGCUCAAAUUUAAAAUCUGGCGGUCUCCGGCCGUCCGAGUUGUAAUCUASAGAAGUGUUAUCCGCGCUGGA
rnacentral:rRNA from 1 species